UCCAGCUGCACUUUAUAAAACAUUUAAUGAUGAUAAAAAAAAUCUAAAAACAAAAGAAAAACUUGGUUAUAUUAGUUUUGUGAUCGUUUGACGCUGAAGUCGAGAUCGAAAUUCGAUGAAUCGCCCAGCCCUAUCAUAACCCUGACUCCAUUCCUAACAGUAAGGACUUGGGUCGACUGCUGGUGCUGGUUGUGGUAGAGGUGGAGGGCCUGGCGGAUGCUGUAUCUGCUCAGCAGAGUCUAGGAGUUGGCCUCCAGAUGAGUCACCAGACUGGUGCUCAGGCAGUGAGGAUGAAUAGCCCGGUAAGGACGUGCCGCAAAAAAUAAUUAAUCUCACCAGAAAAUAAAGAAAUAAUCCCAAAUGGCAAGGGGAGGAUUUAUUGUCAAAUUAACAAACCACCGACAGCGAAGCUCUAAACUGAGCUAGCAGCCUUAUUUGUUUUUAAACACCACCUUUGUUGAAUUUUCUCCACAGCGGUGAACAACUUCACAUAAAUAAAGCGUGCAAAAAUGAAAAGAAAUAGGCAUGGAUUAGCAUAAAUACAAGGCUAGCCGGGCGGUUCUGGCAGUGAGCGCCACAGGCUAACGACGGGACAGCUUCGCACUGGCAACAAUGCACUUUGUUAGAGCUAGAGUUUAUUCAGCGGUAAGCUGUGGUGAGGAGAGAGAGGUGAGGAGUGGAGAGAGAAGGGAGGUGAGGAGGGGGGAGAGACGAGGUGAGGAGGGGAGAGAGAGGGGAGGUGAGGAGAGGGGAGAGACGAGGUGAGGAGUUGAGAGAGAGGGGAGGUGAGGAGGGGGGAGAGACGAGGUGAGGAGGGGGGAGAGAGACUAGGUG
ensembl:lncRNA